UAGUGGCGAACGGGUGAGUAACACGUGGGCAAUCUGCCCUUCACUCUGGGACAAGCCCUGGAAACGGGGUCUAAUACCGGAUAAUACUCCUGCCUGCAUGGGCGGGGGUUGAAAGCUCCGGCGGUGAAGGAUGAGCCCGCGGCCUAUCAGCUUGUUGGUGGGGUAAUGGCCCACCAAGGCGACGACGGGUAGCCGGCCUGAGAGGGCGACCGGCCACACUGGGACUGAGACACGGCCCAGACUCCUACGGGAGGCAGCAGUGGGGAAUAUUGCACAAUGGGCGAAAGCCUGAUGCAGCGACGCCGCGUGAGGGAUGACGGCCUUCGGGUUGUAAACCUCUUUCAGCAGGGAAGAAGCGAAAGUGACGGUACCUGCAGAAGAAGCGCCGGCUAACUACGUGCCAGCAGCCGCGGUAAUACGUAGGGCGCAAGCGUUGUCCGGAAUUAUUGGGCGUAAAGAGCUCGUAGGCGGCUUGUCACGUCGGAUGUGAAAGCCCGAGGCUUAACCUCGGGUCUGCAUUCGAUACGGGCUAGCUAG
rnacentral:rRNA from 1 species